rnacentral:rRNA from 1 species
AUUGAACGCUGGCGGCAGGCCUAACACAUGCAAGUCGAACGAGUGGCGGACUGGUGAGUAAUGUCUGGGAACCUGCCCGAUGGAUGGGGCUAACUGCUGGAAACGGUAGCUAAUACCGCAUACCUUCGGAUGUGCCCAGGUGGGAUUAGCUAGUAGGUGGGGUAAUGGCUCACCUAGGCGACGAUCCCUAGCUGGUCUGAGAGGAUGACCGGCCAAACGGGAAAUGAGACACGGCCAAGACUCCUACGGGAGCAAGAAGUGGGGAAUAGUGGACAAGGGGCGCAAGCCUGAUGAAGCCAGGCCGCGUGGAGGAAGAAGGCCUUCGGGGUGUAAAGUACGUUCAGCGAGGAGGCGUUACUCGCAGAAGAAGCACCGGCUAACUCCGUGCCAGCCGCCGCGGUAAUAC